AGUUUGUCAGAGAUCAGCUGUGAACAUCUGGUCUCUGCCCUGAAGUCCAACCCGUCCCAUUUGACAGAACUGGACCUCAGUAACAACAACGACCUGAAAGAUGGUGAAGUGAAGGAGCUCUGUGGUUUCCUCCAGACUCCCCUCUGCAAACUACAGACACUGAGAUUGAUGAACUGCAGUUUGUCAGAGAUCAGCUGUAACAUCUGGUCUCUGCCCUGAAGUCCAACCCGUCCCAUCUGACAGAACUGGACCUGAGUAGACAACGACCUGAAAGAUGGUGGAGUGAAGGAGCUCUGUGGUUUCCUCCAGACUCCCCUCUGCAAACUACAGACACUGAGAUUGAUGAACUGCAGUUUGUCAGAGAUCAGCUGGGCGUCUCUGGUCUCUGCCCUGAAGUCCAACCCGUCCCAUCUGACAGAACUGGACCUGAGUAACAACG